AGCGAACGCUGGCGGCAGGCCUAACACAUGCAAGUCGAACGAACUCUUCGGAGUUAGUGGCGGACGGGUGAGUAACACGUGGGAACGUGCCUUUUGGUUCGGAAUAACUCAGGGAAACUUGUGCUAAUACCGAAUGUGCCCUUCGGGGGAAAGAUUUAUCGCCAUUAGAGCGGCCCGCGUCUGAUUAGCUAGUUGGUGAGGUAACGGCUCACCAAGGCGACGAUCAGUAGCUGGUCUGAGAGGAUGACCAGCCACACUGGGACUGAGACACGGCCCAGACUCCUACGGGAGGCAGCAGUGGGGAAUCUUGCGCAAUGGGCGAAAGCCUUACGCAGCCAUGCCGCGUGAAUGAUGAAGGUCUUAGGAUUGUAAAAUUCUUUCACCGGGGACGAUAAUGACGGUACCCGGAGAAGAAGCCCCGGCUAACUUCGUG
rnacentral:rRNA from 1 species